CUAAGAUGGGUAUAAAGGGGUACCCAUGUUCUUCUAACCAACAUCCUUCACUGGACUGCAAAAGCAAAACAGUCUACCAGAAAUAAAAAGAGAAUAUAUUCUUCUGAGGACCACUACAAACUCUAGAAAAAGGUCUCAGUUUCCAUCCGUUGUCAGAUGUGAUCUUAGUCAUGAUACUUUCUGAGAUACUGAGGGCAUAGUUGAUGAGGAAGGAAUGCAUGCCAAGAACAGUGAUUUUUGGAGAGGCAAAUGGGUGUGAUUAAAACAACUAUAUCGCUAUCUAAAUUUGUUGGUCUACCAGUAUCUGUUGUCGGUGAUACGGCUGUCUGUUGUUGGUUGCCCAAUUGUUGAUAGUCUUAAUUUGAUUGCACAAUUGAACAUAAUUUACUCAUAGUGGAAACCGAGAAGCAGGGAUUAGAUGAUGUAUUUUGAUCA